rnacentral:rRNA from 1 species
UCAAUGGGCGGGAGCCUGAACCAGCCAAGUAGCGUGAAGGACGACGGCCCUACGGGUUGUAAACUUCUUUUAUAAGGGAAUAAAGUUCGCCACGUGUGGUGUUUUGUAUGUACCUUAUGAAUAAGCAUCGGCUAAUUCCGUGCCAGCAGCCGCGGUAAUACGGAAGAUGCGAGCGUUAUCCGGAUUUAUUGGGUUUAAAGGGAGCGUAGGCGGGCUUUUAAGUCAGCGGUCAAAUGUCGUGGCUCAACCAUGUCAAGCCGUUGAAACUGUAAGCCUUGAGUCUGCACAGGGCACAUGGAAUUCGUGGUGUAGCGGUGAAAUGCUUAGAUAUCACGAAGAACUCCGAUCGCGAAGGCAUUGUGCCGGGGCAUAACUGACGCUGAGGCUCGAAAGUGCGGGUAUCAAACAGGAUUAGAUACCCUGGUAGUCCGCACGGUAAACGAUGAAUGCUCGCUAUGGGCGAUAUAUUGUCCGUGGCCAAGCGAAAGCGUUAAGCAUUCCACCUGGGGAGUACGCCGGCAACGGUGAAACUCAAAGGAAUUGACGGGGGCCCGCACAAGCGGAGGAACAUGUGGUUUAAUUCGAUGAUACGCGAGGAACCUUACCCGGGCUUGAAUUGCAGGUGCAUGAGUCAGAGACGGCUCUUUCCUUCGGGACUCCUGUGAAGGUGCUGCAUGGUUGUCGUCAGCUCGUGCCGUGAGGUGUCGGCUUAAGUGCCAUAACGAGCGCAACCCUUCUCCCCAGUUGCCAUCGGGUAAUGCCGGGCCCUCUGGGGACACUGCCAUCGUAAGAUGCGAGGAAGGUGGGGAUGACGUCAAAUCAGCACGGCCC